rnacentral:rRNA from 1 species
UAUUAGUGGGGGACAACAUCUCGAAAGGGAUGCUAAUACCGCAUACGUCCUACGGGAGAAAGCAGGGGAUCUUCGGACCUUGCGCUAAUAGAUGAGCCUAAGUCGGAUUAGCUAGUUGGUGGGGUAAAGGCCUACCAAGGCGACGAUCUGUAGCGGGUCUGAGAGGAUGAUCCGCCACACUGGGACUGAGACACGGCCCAGACUCCUACGGGAGGCAGCAGUGGGGAAUAUUGGACAAUGGGGGGAACCCUGAUCCAGCCAUGCCGCGUGUGUGAAGAAGGCCUUAUGGUUGUAAAGCACUUUAAGCGAGGAGGAGGCUACUUUAGUUAAUACCUAGAGAUAGAUGGACGUUACUCGCAGAAUAAGCACCGGCUA